AUUGAACGCUGGCAGCAGGCUUUACACAUGCAAGUCGAACGGCAGCGCGGGGUUCGUUCUUGCGUUGCGUGGCGAACGGGGGAGUGAUAGAUCUGAAUGGGCCCCUUCGUGGUGGAGGGGUCGGCGAAAGCGGGACGAAUACUACAACCGACUAACGUCGGGAGGCGGGGGAUCGUGGGACUCCGCGCUAUUGGAGCGGCCGAUGGCGGAUUAGCUAGUUGGUGGGGUAAAGGCCUACCAAGGCGACGAUCUGUAGCUGGUCUGAGAGGACGACCAGCCACACUGGGACUGAGACACGGCCCAGACUCCUACGGGAGGCAGCAGUGGGGAAUUUUGGACAAUGGGCGAAAGCCUGAUCCAGCAAUGCCGCGUGUGUGAUGAAGGCCUUCGGGUUGUAAAGCACUUUUGGCGGGAACGAAAAGGACUGUGCCAAUACCACGGUUCGAUGACGGUACCCGCAGAAUAAGCACCGGCUAACUACGUG
rnacentral:rRNA from 1 species